GGGGCGCGGCGGCCGCGGGCCCGCCCGGAGCGCGGCGGGGCGGACCGGGCGCGGCGGUCCCCCCGGCCGGCGGGGGCGCUGCGGGCGGGCGGAGCCGCGGGCCCGGCGGGGACGAUGAAGCGCGAUCGGCGCGGCCGGUUCCUGGCGGCCCCGGGCGGCCCCCGCGCCCCCCCCGCGCCCCGCCGCGCCCCCGCCGCCGCCGCCGCCGCCCGCGGCUCCGAGCCCGCCGAGCCCCCCGCGGCCGCCGCCGCCUGCGCGCCGGAGGCAGGUGAGGCCCGAGCGCGGGCACCGGGGCGGGGCGGCGGGGCACCGGGGGGACCGGGGACGGGCGAGCCCUCGGUGUGGCGGGGAUCCCUCCGUCCCCGUCCCGGGGCUCGGUGCCGAGCGGGCGGCAGGUCGGGGUUUGCCCGUUUGUGUGGAGUUUCUUCCCACACUGAACACACCGGUGCCGGUAACGGCAAGGUAAGGAGGGAUUCGGUACGCGGGGGAACCUCCCGCUGUUUCGGGGUGCUCGGGUCCCUCUCUCCUUCACGGUUUGAGCGUGGUCGGGACCCUCCCGCCAUCCCGGUUUGCGGUUUGGGGUGGCUGAUACCGGGUGUGUUGCAGCUGGGGCAGCAGAUAAGCGGCAUCUCCAACGGCUCCGGUGGGUGCCGGGACACCGGCGCUGCCCCGGGACACCGGGUGGCACACGGGGCACGCACAAACGGGGGGUUCAGCCCCCCAGGACCGUCCGCCGAGAGGUGCUGCCCUGUCACACCGCUGUCACCACCCCCGCGGGGUGCGGUGAGAGCCCCGGUGGGGCACGGCUGGAACGGGAGGAGGCUGUGCUCGGGGCUCCCGUCACACCGGGGGCGAGCGGAGGGACGGAGAUUAUCCCGCAGCGUGGGGAUGCCGCGGGUGACGCUGCUGGGUGACACUGCUGGGUGACACUGCUGGGUGACACUGCCCGCUCCGGGGAGCUGAGGGAUGGGGCAGCCAAGGGACGCGGUAAAGCUGUAAAUGGUCGGGGGGUAAACGCGGGGGCAGAGCUGCUGAAACCAGGGGAAGGCACUGGCAGAGUCCCGGGACCCCCAGAGUGCAGGGGAGGCUCUGCCGCUGGGACAGUGCGGCCAGAAACGCUGAUUUGGGGUCAGCCCGUGACAG
rnacentral:lncRNA from 1 species